CGAGCGGACAGAUGGGAGCUUGCUCCCUGAUGUUAGCGGCGGACGGGUGAGUAACACGUGGGUAACCUGCCUGUAAGACUGGGAUAACUCCGGGAAACCGGGGCUAAUACCGGAUGCUUGUUUGAACCGCAUGGUUCAAACAUAAAAGGUGGCUUCGGCUACCACUUACAGAUGGACCCGCGGCGCAUUAGCUAGUUGGUGAGGUAACGGCUCACCAAGGCGACGAUGCGUAGCCGACCUGAGAGGGUGAUCGGCCACACUGGGACUGAGACACGGCCCAGACUCCUACGGGAGGCAGCAGUAGGGAAUCUUCCGCAAUGGACGAAAGUCUGACGGAGCAACGCCGCGUGAGUGAUGAAGGUUUUCGGAUCGUAAAGCUCUGUUGUUAGGGAAGAACAAGUGCCGUUCAAAUAGGGCGGCACCUUGACGGUACCUAACCAGAAAGCCACGGCUAACUACGUGCCAGCAGCCGCGGUAAUACGUAGGUGGCAAGCGUUGUCCGGAAUUAUUGGGCGUAAAGGGCUCGCAGGCGGUUUCUUAAGUCUGAUGUGAAAGCCCCCGGCUCAACCGGGGAGGGUCAUUGGAAACUGGGGAACUUGAGUGCAGAAGAGGAGAGUGGAAUUCCACGUGUAGCGGUGAAAUGCGUAGAGAUGUGGAGGAACACCAGUGGCGAAGGCGACUCUCUGGUCUGUAACUGACGCUGAGGAGCGAAAGCGUGGGGAGCGAACAGGAUUAGAUACCCUGGUAGUCCACGCCGUAAACGAUGAGUGCUAAGUGUUAGGGGGUUUCCGCCCCUUAGUGCUGCAGCUAACGCAUUAAGCACUCCGCCUGGGGAGUACGGUCGCAAGACUGAAACUCAAAGGAAUUGACGGGGGCCCGCACAAGCGGUGGAGCAUGUGGUUUAAUUCGAAGCAACGCGAAGAACCUUACCAGGUCUUGACAUCCUCUGACAUCCUAGAGAUAGGACGUCCCCUUCGGGGGCAGAGUGACAGGUGUGCAUGGUUGUCGUCAGCUCGUGUCGUGAGAUGUUGGGUUAAGUCCCGCAACGAGCGCAACCCUUGAUCUUAGUUGCCAGCAUUCAGUUGGGCACUCUAAGGUGACUGCCGGUGACAAACCGGAGGAAGGUGGGGAUGACGUCAAAUCAUCAUGCCCCUUAUGACCUGGGCUACACACGUGCUACAAUGGGCAGAACAAAGGGCAGCGAAACCGCGAGGUUAAGCCAAUCCCACAAAUCUGUUCUCAGUUCGGAUCGCAGUCUGCAACUCGACUGCGUGAAG
rnacentral:rRNA from 1 species